GUCUUACUAGUAUAAGUAGUAUGUUUGACUUCCAAUCGAGUGGUUCUUGUUGUAUUCAAGAGUGAGAUA
rnacentral:tRNA from 1 species